rnacentral:misc_RNA from 1 species
CAACCCUCAAGCCCCCGGGCUUGGUGUUGGGGCUCGGCCCGUCCCUCGCGGCGCGCCGUCCCCGAAAUCUAGUGGCGGUCUCGCUGCAGCCUCCCCUGCGUAGUAGCUAACACUCGCAACGGGACCUGCGCGGGGCCACGCCGUUAAACCCCCAACUUUCUGAUGG